rnacentral:rRNA from 1 species
GAUGAACGCUGGCGGCAUGCCUAAUACAUGCAAGUCGAACGAGAGGAAGGAAAGCUUGCUUUUCUGAAUCUAGUGGCGAACGGGUGAGUAACACGUAGGUAACCUGCCCAUGUGCCCGGGAUAACUUCUGGAAACGGAUGCUAAAACCGGAUAGGUAGCAGACAAGCAUUUGACUGCUAUUAAAGUGGCUAAGGCCAUGAACAUGGAUGGACCUGCGGUGCAUUAGCUAGUUGGUGAGGUAACGGCCCACCAAGGCGACGAUGCAUAGCCGGCCUGAGAGGGCGGACGGCCACAUUGGGACUGAGACACGGCCCAAACUCCUACGGGAGGCAGCAGUAGGGAAUUUUCGUCAAUGGGGGGAACCCUGAACGAGCAAUGCCGCGUGAGUGAGGAAGGUCUUCGGAUCGUAAAGCUCUGUUGUAUGAGAAAAACGACAUUCAUAGGGAAUGAUGAGUGAGUGAUGGUAUCUUACCAGAAAGUCACGGCUAACUACGUGCCAGCCGCCGCGGUAACAC